rnacentral:rRNA from 1 species
CGAAUGGCUCAUUAUAUAAGUUAUCGUUUAUUUGAUAGUACCUUACUACAUGGAUAACCGUGGUAAUUCUAGAGCUAAUACAUGCUGAAAAUCCCGACUCCGGAAGGGAUGUAUUUAUUAGAUACAAAACCAAUGCCCUUCGGGGCUCCCUUGGUGAUUCAUGAUAACUCCUCGAAUCGCACGGCCCCGCGCCGGCGAUGGUUCAUUCAAAUUUCUUCCCUAUCAACUUUCGAUGCUACGGUAGUGUCCUAGCAUGGUUGCAACGGGUGACGGAGGGUUAGGGCUCGACCCCGGAGAAGGAGCCUGAGAAACGGCUACUACAUCCAAGGAAGGCAGCAGGCGCGCAAAUUACCCAAUCCCGACUCGGGGAGGUAGUGACGAUAAAUACCGAUACAGGGCUCUUUUGGGUCCUGUAAUUGGAAUGAGUACAAUUCAAAUCCCUUAACGAGGAACAAUUGGAGGGCAAGUCUGGUGCCAGCAGCCGCGGUAAUUCCAGCUCCAAUAGCGUAUAUUAAAGUUGUUGUGGUUAAAAAGCUCGUAGUAGAAGCUCGGGCUCCGGCCGACCGGUCCGCCUCACCGCGUGCACUGGCUCGGCCGGGCCUUCACCUUCUGCGGAACCUCAUCCCCUUCACUGGGGGUGCUGGGGAAACAGGACGUUUACUUUGAAAAAAUUAGAGUGCUCCAGGCAGGCCUAUGCUCGAAUAGAUUAGCAUGGAAUAAUGGAAUAGGACGCGUGGUUCUAUUUCGUUGGUUUCUAGGACCGCCGUAAUGAUUAAUAGGGACAGUCGGGGGCAUCAGUAUUCAAUCGUCAGAGGUGAAAUUCUUGGAUCGAUUGAAGACUAACUACUGCGAAAGCAUUUGCCAAGGAUGUUUUCAUUUAUCAGGAACGAAAGUUAGGGGAUCGAAGACGAUCAGAUACCGUCGUAGUCUUAACCAUAAACUAUGCCGACUAGGGAUCGGACGGUGUUAUUUCUUGACCCGUUCGGCACCUUACGAGAAAUCA